rnacentral:lncRNA from 1 species
GAUGUUUUAUUACGUUUAUUAUUAUGUUUUAUUACCUUUAAAUGUUCCGUUAGCUCCUGAAAUCCAACACUUAUUUCUCUAAUGUUUGUGGUCGACCUCCUUCUCCGUUUGAAACAUUUGUUACAGGACGGUUUUACGACUUUACUAUCAGGUUACAACAUCUUAUCCUCCAGAGAAUAUUAUCUUAUGUGCACAUGACAUUAACUUUUCACUUAAUAUAACCUUUUAAUGACAGUCACUUGCAGAAAUGAUGAUGUUGUUCACACAUUAUAAUUAUUAAAAUGACUCCAGCACUCAGGAGAAGUUGAGAAGUUUGUCCCACUAGUUUUUUGCUCAUGCACAAAAGAAAUCUUGUUUUAGGAGAUGAUUAUUUCACAUGCUCUGACACUCUUCUUAAAUGAGAUCAGAUUAAAGUAAACCUGUUUUUUUUAGGGUAUUUUUCUGUAUUUCUGACCCUCAGGCUCCCACACUGGCUGCUAAUGCUUCCCAGGCGUCUUUAUGCUCCAACAAGCAGGAAUGAACAGUUCAAGGUGUUUGGCCGGUAAAGUGGUCUGUCUUCCCCUCUGACAUCGCCGCUCUCGGUGAUUUAGACCCGGUGAUCGCUGCGAGCCUCUUUGAAAGCUGCUACUGGGGAGCAGAUGCUGCUCAGGACUCAGGGCUGACGUUCACUCUGGACGCUCCGACCUCCUUUUCUUCAUCGGAGUCUUUAAGCUCCUGCAGCGAGAGAUCCCGUGCAGGCCCUCCUGUACCUGCCUCCUGUGAGACUCCCACACACAUGAUCUGAAUACAAGGGGAAGAAGAAGCUUGUAGAGGCUCCCAGCGGACACAUUUCCUCCCUUCCUGUGUGUUCGUCGACCACACAGAGAAGCAGACUCCAGGGACGGCGUGCAGGCCCGGCGGUGCAGGCUGUAGUCGUCUUCUUCACACCUUUAAAUCACAUUCUCUCUGCCUGCUCUCUGCAAAAUUAGAAGCAGAACUUUUGUCUGAGAGGGAGACAGAUGGGGAUGUGAAAGAUGGAGGGAUGGAGGAGGAGGAGGAGGAGGAGGAGGAGGGAGUGGAAGAUGACUGAUAAGCUGCUGAAGAGCACUUUCUAGUGGCAUGUCGGAGGACUAGCAAGCUGAGACGCUCGCUCCUCUGCUGGACCUCAAAACAAACAAGCCAUCUCCAGAAAGUCGAGCAGCUCUGAGGACCGAAAGGUAAAUAUUCUGGAGAGACCGUGCCGGGAAAAUCUGAGCUGAGACAGACCGCAGCGCCGCUUCUUCACCUUCGUUCAGUGCUGUUUAUGUCUGACUUUUAUGGAUGAAAAGAGAUUUUAAUCUGCAGUUUGUUUUUAUCUGAUAUUUAACUAGAUGUCUCUGGAAAUCUGGUUUUAAAAUUCAAGUCUAAUAUUGAGCGUCAUACAAAUCUGAGGUCAGUUAACAGACACACAACUCUCACAGGCUUGAUGCAAACAACAAUCAGCUGCAGCGUGGAUGUUUACGUGGUCGAUCCAAAGAAAUAACUGCGUCAUAUUUUUCUGCUGAUGUGUGCAGGCUGACUGUAUAGAUAUUAGUGAGAUAGAUGCACUUUAGUAAAUGUUUUCUCUGCACAAAGACUCUAAAAGUGAUUCUAGUGUGACCGGACGGCUGAGUUUGUCUGCAGUUGUAAUUAUUUGGACUCUCAGGUGUUCGUACUGUUAAAAACAGAAUAUACACUCAGACUGGUGAAGUGGAUUAAAGGUGGAUUUGCUAAACUCAGAGUUCACACAGCAGAGAGAGUCACCGCUGUGUCUUUAAUUAUAUUUAAAUAACCUUUGAAUAAAAAAGACAAAUUUAUGAUGUUAGAUUUUUCUGCCUGAACUGAACCGUUUGAGGGUGAAAUCAACUCCUUUUUUAAGCUAGAGAGGUCACUGACGACCUCUUUUAAAAUUUAGGAUUUAUUCUAGAUGACAAUUGUUCUCCCUUUAUUCGUAUUUGCAGAGUGAACUUGGUUAGAGUGGGAUGAGGCCUGCACAAAAGGAGAAACAUGUGUGAUAGACAACAACAAUUAAAAAAGCAUAACUCUGUCAGACUGAUUAAAAACAGCAGAACAACAGAGCUCCUGUUUUCAUGAGCGCUGACAGAAUUAACCGCAAACUUCUCAAUAAAUAUCCAACAAGAUUAAAACGCAAGAUUACAGAGUUAAAGUUCAAUAUUUUAAUCUGGUCAAAGCUCAUAUUUAAUCUAUCCUGUGAAGAUGAGCCCAAACUGCAGAUGAGUGUUUCUUUAACUGAACAUUCGACCUGCAGACCUCUCCUCAACACUGACUGUGAUUACGUGGACGACGCUCGCUGCUGUCGAUCCUGCUCCAUAAUGCAUCAGUUUGUGCGGCGCUCUGCUCUGAGAGGAGCCCCGAGGUGCAGAGAGAAGAUAAAUUAUCAAUCUCUCACUUGUUCUUCAGCUCGGCGAGAGGCCGCAUAGUGAAGCAGCUAUGUCAUCCUCAGAGCUCAGCCUGUGAAAUCCUGAUUCAGAGCACCAGUGUGCAGACCGGACCUAAGAAACCGGCGUCCAGGUGGUCGAGGGUCGAUCUGCUGAAGGGUCCAAAAAAACAAAACAACAGGAUUUUAUCGUGUUUUUGGUGUUAAAACUCAAAUCUCUGCGAUUUAACUAACUUUGAGUCUGACAAUCUCAUUUCAUGAACACAAAUAAAACAUCUUAUCUUGACAUUCAUGAAGAGAAAAUCCUGUUCGCUCCAUUUGCAGAUAUUUUUAAAGUCAUUAGAGCUGAAAUUUAGUUUUACUUUAACAUUAUUUCUGGACCUUUCUGGUGAACGUGUCUGAUACUGAGUGUAAACAGACCAAGUGUGUGUUUGUAGAAAUAACUUAAAGUGGUUUCAUGUCUGCUGUUUGAGUUUGUACAUUUUUUAAACUCAGGGUUUAUCGUGUAAAAAUCUGACUAAUGCUGCAGUCGUGUUUCUGUGUUCAGUAUUUUGACUUUAAAUCCUCUUUUAGACAAAAAAACUGAUUAUUUCUGAGCUUUAACUUCUUUCAGGGAAAUCUGAGAAAAAUAUUUGACUUUAUUUUAAAUUUCUGAUUUUCAGAAUUUAGAGGCUUCUGUCCUUUUAGACUAAAGUCAACAGGGAAAAAGAAAAAGACAUCAGAAUUUCAAAAUCAGUAUUUUUAAUAACUUUAAAUUCUCUUUAAAACUCUGAGAUUCAGGAAAAUGAUGUUUUUCUUUCUCUGAAUUUUAACUUUGAUUUCAGAUUUCUGCUUUUACUCCCAGAACUAAAAUCUGUGAGUUCUGACUAAAAUGAGAGAAUUUUGAGGAAUAAUCUCCGAGUUUUAAGAAUUAAGACUGUGACGACAAACUGGGAAAAGAAGUUCGAGGUUAGACUUCAGUGUUUUUCACUUUUUUGAGUCAGAAUUACUGACUUAGAAUUUUAACUUUUCUGGAAUUUUAAGAUUUAAAUCAAACUUUUAUUUUCUGUUAAAAAUGAAGUUUUUUAAAUUUAGUUUUCUCCCUUUACUCACAAAAUUUCCCAAUAAAACCAUCUAAUGCUCACCAACUCUAUUUUCUUUGAAUUUUAAUUAAGGUUAAAUUUUUAUCUUGUUUUUAUAAAUUUUUAAGAUUAAAGUUGGAUUAAAAACUGUUUCUGUGAACUCUGACUUAAAUCUCAGCGCUCCACCUUUAAUCCCAGAAUUCUAAAUGACAUCACUGAAUUCUGACUUUAUUUUUGAAAUUUAAAGAAAAAGGUUUUAUUUUGGAAAAUAAAAAAGAAAACUUCUAAAAAGAAAAGAAAAAACAUCAGCGUCACUGGAGAUAAAAUAAGGACCGAGUUUUGACUUUUUUUCUUCGUCUUUUUACUUCUUUUCAGAUUUUGGAGAAUUAAAUCAAAAUUCAGAAACAAACUUUAAACUCUGAGAAAAAGUCUGGAAUAAAAUAUCACUUUAAAACUGAUGUUGAUAAAGUUAAAAAAAGAAGUUUCUUAUAUUUUUGUAUUACAGUGAAGUUUAAGUCAGAAUUUUAAAAGAAGUGAGUAAAUAAGUUAAUACUUUCAGUGUCCCUCAGCGAUUCUUAAAAACUGUUCAAAGUUCCUCCUAAACACCAAACUGUCUCUCUCUGAACUUUUCCUGACUCUUUGGUAAAUGUCGAGCUCGUACUUGUAAAGUUAAAAGAGAAAAAUUUCCUGUUUCUUUAUUCACAGUUAAGAUAAAAUAAGCAGCAUGUCGGUAAACAGUUAAAAUUAUGACUUUAUGCUCCUCAUUACAGAAAAAAAAGUUAGUUUUGUUUUAGAUUUUGUGUUUCUGAAUAAAUCAAUGUAAAAGGAAACUUCUUGUCUUCAUGUGUCGCUGUUAUUUGUUGUUUUGCGUAAAUUUAAGUCAAACUUCUUUUACAUUUAAAGAAAUCUCUAAUCUGUUCAACAACACGGCACAAAGAAAAAACGAAGCGGAUAUUUUCUGUUAUUUCAGAGUCUGAUUCUGCUUUAUUAUCGAGUCCCUCUUUGAAUCCAAUAUUUCUGAUGUGUUAUUUUGAGCGUUUCCUCUUUUUAAUCCCUGUCUUAUUCUCUCCGACGCUGAAUUGACUCCAGUGGAGCGUGCACGCUGAACUGUUGGUGCCCUGUGGAGAAAAAAGCCAAACCACAAUAAACACCAUAAUGAAGAUCCUUCCCACUUCCCAGAAAUGACGGAUUCAACAUGGCCGCCUGUCUGCUGUAAAUUUAGAUCUGGAAUAAAAGUGUUUAUGCUUCAGAGAAAUCAAACACAGACAGACAGACGUGGAGGAUGAACUUUGCUCCCCGAGGACCAAGAGUUCAUCUUUGUUUCUCUGAAGCGACUUCUGCACCGUCAAAAGCUCAUUAACACGGCCUCGUGUCAGAUAACCUUAUAGCUCCUGCUACAAAUCAAUCAGAGCUGAUCAAUAAAGCAUCAAUGUCACCUUCACAAAUACUGACGGACGGAUCAGCUGAUGGAGGAAAAACCGGCCCUGAUGAAAGAGAGAGGAGUGGAGGGUUAUUUCUGACGAUAAUGAGAAGAAAGAGAAAAGUGAGGAGGCGAUUAAGAGAGAGGACUGGUGUUUCAUUAAGAUGAGAGAUUCUCACACUUCUUUACGGCGUCUUUAUAACCCUGAUGAACAAAGCUAAUUAUCUGUCAGGAGCUGCAGCUUGGUGGCUAAAUAUUGUCUCCAUUACAUCAGAGUCAUCGUACCCGCAGAGAGAUCAGAGACACAAAGAUAUUUAAUUAUAUCUCACUCUGCAAUUAACACGAUCGCACGUAAAGAUCCAUCAUGGCUGACGUUCAUUCUUCUUAUUUGUUGGGUUUUAACAAACACAACCUACACGUGAAGAUGCUUAAAUGUGCACUUUUUUAAUUUAAAGCUCUUUUUUUUAACUUCAGUGAUUGUUGGAUAAAGACCUUACAGUACGCAGUAUUUGAUAUCCCUCCAUGCUCUGAGCUCCCUCAUACAGCGACCUUUAGUGUGAGUGUGAUGUUUCUGCACAGGCUGUGUAAAUAGUAACACACCUGUCUGAACCAUGACGAAACACACCUGUGGAUUACUGUGGAACUUAAAGCUCCUGUGGGAGUUUUAGUGGGUUACAUAACAGACUUACGUCACUGCUUGGUGCAUUUUUCUAACCCGUGGAAUUAAAGUAUAUUUAGUGUUUUUAAAGGGAUAUUCUGGCAUAAAACUAAUUUAGGGUCAAACACACAGUAACACCGAGUUAGACACCCCCUCCAGAGAUGAAUGUUGCCAUGUGUUUAUCUGGUACUGGCCCAGACUCAGUCCAUGCUAUUAUGACAGACAGACAUCUAAACACUAGAGUCGAAUCAGAACUGAAAACACUCAGUCUGCUGUUGGGUCAGUCUUCUCACUUCCACCCGGGACGCGUCUUUUUUCCUCUGAAUAUUUCAUAAUUUCGCGUCGUAUAUUUUUGUCGUUCCGGGUGUUUAAGGACCUUUAGCGUCUUAGUCUGAUUGUAUUUACAUGAAGAAAUGAUCAUAAAUGUUCUUCCUUGAGCUGCGGCACCCCGCUUUAGUCUGUAAUGGACUGGCCUGAGGUCUCUCUACAAACAAGCGUCUGCUGGAAGAGAGUAGGUGAGUUGUGUUUAGUCUCUUUGCUAAAGAAAUGAGUCAAAGUUAAAAAGAUGUUUGGUGUCUAGUACUAUGUCUGUGACCCUAUAUGUCCUGUUGAUGAAGUUAGGUGCUGUUCUGAGCAUUAUUUGUGGCUAUAGAGUGGCGUUUUGGUUGGGGGCGUGGCUCUCUGUAUUGCUAUCCUGCGGUUGUUACUAAAGUUGGUUCUGUAACAGACUUACAUCACUGCUUAGUGUAUUUUUCUAACCUGUGAAAUUAAAGUAUGUUUAGCAAUUUUAA